ACGAAAUCCGAUCGCUGCCGUGUCCUGGGAUCCCCGCGGGGCUGGAGCGUCCAUCCACGGGACUGAAGACCGAGUUUCCCCAGGAGUCGCGGCCCUGCGAGGGUUUGCAACUGUGGGAAGGAGAGGAGAAGCAAAGCCACCCAAGAAGUGACCCUGAGAGUUUCAAGUCCAGGAGACUAGGAUUUCAGGAUGAAGAUCUGUGUGCAGAGGAUGAGAAUUUGGCCUAACAAUCCCUCAGGAGAAAACUGAGCUCUCAGAGCUCAAGUGAUCAGACCAGUUGGUGAACAUCGAAGAAUGUCUGGCAAGUGUCACCUUUCUUGGCAUCGAUUCCCAGUGUCCCCACUCAGACGGAGUCCAAACAACUACAAUUACCCUGUUCAACCAGGGCCUGCAUCCUGCUUUAGCUGAAUCAAAAUCCUAGGGACCAGAGAGGGUUAUCGGUUCAUCUUCCUGCCCCAGGCACCUCAGGACUCCCUGACAGUUGAGGGAGAAGCUUUUGCUGUUCACCUCCAAGAUUCCAACGGUCUGUUCUGUUCUUCCCAGGGGGUGGGGUGCAGUGGGGAGCCAAGUGAGAUGGUAUAUGAAGAGAGCUGUGAGAUUUGGAUAUUUUUCCAGAGAGGUGGUAAGAAGGCUCCUGAAGUGAACUGCGCUUGUCCCAGUGAAGGGAAUGUGAGGCAGAGGGCCCUUUUGUUCAGAAUUCUUUUGCAUUUGAGAGUCGUGCUAGUUGGAUGAACCAGCCAACCCUGUUCUUUAUUUCCUUGUGUGUUUUGUCUUACAUAACACUCAAAUGAACCCAGGCCAAACAGAUAAUGGGUUCUGAAAGUUCAAAUAGUGAGAAUGACAUACCCAUAUAUGCACAAAGUGGGACAGGGCCGACUUAUGAUUUGAACAGGGACAUGUGGUGACUAGAUGCUCAACCUUUGAAAGCGUGGUCACUUCUAUUUGUUGGCGUAACAACUAAUAGAGCAGAGAUGUGUAGUGAAAGUUUUGGAACAAGACAAACUGGG
rnacentral:lncRNA from 1 species